UCACUGUAAAAAAAUUCUGUAAAUUUACAGCAUAUUAACAGCGUAAAUAUACAGUACUGAACUGUUUUCUAAAAUUACGGUGUCUUACCGUAAAUGCACACGUGAUCGGUGGGAGAGGGGGAACCAAAGGCUAGCUGAGGCAUGGAGGAGCAUGGUUUCAGUCAAAGUUUUAUGGAUUUCAUCUCAAGUUGAGGCUCAUUUACAGGUAAGCAGAUCAAAGUCUGAAUACAUUUUUAUCUUAAACUGCAGCGUUUUUUAAUGUGGGCACAAUAUUUUAAUUUACCUUUGACAAAUCUUGCCAAGACGGUGAACUAGCAUGUAUGCAAUUUUUAAAAAUUUCUCCUGAAAGUUAAGUGUGUAUGUGUGUGUUUGUGAAGGAUUUGCAUCGUUUUUUUUCUUUCCUGGUGUAAACUCCUGUAAAUGUUAAACUUGUAAAUAGUUAAAUAUAAAAUACUUGCGUUCGCUGAUUAUUUCAUUGGAUAUGAAUUGAACAUAUUGCGCAACGGUAGAAGAUGAGCACGUGAUCGGUGGGGGAGGGGAGCAACGGUUAGCGUCUGAUACCAGAGAAAAGCAUCAUCAGUCUCAGUGAAUAAAACCGAUAUUAUCUCAAAUAUAAUCUCGAUUACAGAUUGCAGAUAACGAGGAUAUGAAGAACAUGAAGAUGGACUGGAUUCGCAUGCAGAUGUUGCAGCAUCUGCAUCUGAGUUUGAGAAGACGCUCAAUCUACCUGCCAAUCCUCAUCUGAUUUUGCUGGUUGCAACAGUGUUUGCUGUGUACUACAUCUUCAACCUGCAGUAUCAAGAGGAGGCUUGUUGCACGUUA